GAGUGUGGAGAAAAGAGAGAGAAAGGGAGAGAAGGAGUCAUGGACCCUACUUUAUGGUUGCCAUGGAGGCAAGGUCAGCCUUCCACACUUGGAUCUACCAGCAGAGUUCAGACAGGUCAACGUGUGACCGGCUCAGGCCCUGGGGUUAAAAGUUCAAGCAGCGAUGGAAAAACCAAUAUGUCCACGCAGAGUAUGCUGUGCAAUUUAUUUCAAUUUACAUCAAGCCAUGCAUAUAAAAUUUAGAUAAAUUCCAUUCAAAUCUGAUGUUGCCUGACACACAAUGUAUGCAAACAGAUGUCUGUGGGGCUUUUUCUGUGCUUUGGAAAACAACAUUAAAUUUAAAAAUAUGUCUCUGGGAUUUCUUUAUUGAAUUACAAAAUGAACAUAAUUUUAACUUAAAUGUUUUCAUUCUUUCUUCCAAUUUUUUUUGUGGGGUUCUUAAUAAUUUCUCGGUUCUCAAUCUACUCUGUGUCAUAUUAAAGAGGAUAAUGUAUAUUUACAACUACAGCUCCCCUGUUAUUGUAGUUAUAGAUUCUAUUUAUAUCCCUUACCACUUUCUGCAAAUAUUUAGUGAUUGAUAUUUCUGAUUUCUCUCUGGCUUCUACCCUCAUCGCCUUUACUUUCUACACGGAACAGAGCAAGGGCUCCAGAGGCUGCUGGGUCAUCUUCCAGCCACAAGGUGGCUCCCCCCACCCCUUCUCUCUAGCCAACAGGGCACACACCUUUGCUGAGUACUGCCGGCAGACUAGGAUUCAGAGGCUAAUUAUGAUCCAUAAAUACCAUUAUUUUCAUUGCGAAUUGAAUGGAUAACAACCCGGACGCUGGCACAGUGAGAUGCAAUGGAAAACUGGUCUUCAGAAAGAGGAGAAGGAAGAAGAUUUUCGUGUCCUGCCUGAUGGCUCUUCACCUAUCCUUUCAAGGGUACGACCAACUAAACUUUGAGAGAGAAAAAUAAAGGAAAAUAAUGACGUGUUCUAGAGGAACCUAAUUUUGUUGCCAAAGAAGAGGGACACAGAGCGGACAAGGCAAAAUUUCAAGCGAAAUAUGCAACUUCUUCCUGCUCAAACCGGAGCCUGCAUUUGGAGUAGAAAAGGGGUUUGAGUUUUCUGUUCUGGGAACUUCCACACAAGGAAGUUUUUUGUGAGGACUCUGUAGCACUGGCUUAGACGUCCUGCACCGUGUCAUAGAUGAAGAACAGUGAUCUCUAACACUUCCAGGCUUUAAAAGGAAUAGAAAUACCAUGUAUCUACUUCUUGCUGCUUAGGAAACAGGGUCCAUAUUUCACAAAGGUGAUUUUUACAGAAUACAUCCUAAUUUUCUACACAUGAAGCAAGCAUAGAGAGACAAAUCAUUCAUCUGAUUACAUGGAAAUUCUUUCCAAAAGUCUGAGUCCUAAUUUCUCACAUUUUCCACUUUCUGUUCCAGGGACAAGCUAUUUGGGCAAGUUUCAUUUUCCUCAUCUG
rnacentral:lncRNA from 1 species